rnacentral:rRNA from 1 species
GAAAGAGGGUGCAAACGUUGUUCGGAAUCACUGGGCGUAAAGCGCAUGUAGGCGGCUACGUAAGUCGGACGUGAAAUCCCACGGCUCAACCGUGGAAGUGCGCUCGAAACUGUGUAGCUUGAGUCCUGGAGAGGAAGACGGAAUACUUGGUGUAGAGGUGAAAUUCGUAGAUAUCAGGUAGAACACCAGUGGCGAAGGCGGUCUUCUGGACAGUGACUGACGCUGAGAUGCGAAAGCGUGGGGAGCAAACAGG